rnacentral:rRNA from 1 species
GGCAGCAGUGGGGAAUAUUGCACAAUGGGCGCAAGCCUGAUGCAGCAACGCCGCGUGAGGGAUGACGGCCUUCGGGUUGUAAACCUCUUUUAGUAGGGAAGAAGCGAAAGUGACGGUACCUGCAGAAAAAGCACCGGCUAACUACGUGCCAGCAGCCGCGGUAAUACGUAGGGUGCAAGCGUUGUCCGGAAUUAUUGGGCGUAAAGAGCUCGUAGGCGGCUUGUCGCGUCUGCUGUGAAAACCCGAGGCUCAACCUCGGGCCUGCAGUGGGUACGGGCAAGCUAGAGUGCGGUAGGGGAGAUUGGAAUUCCUGGUGUAGCGGUGGAAUGCGCAGAUAUCAGGAGGAACACCGAUGGCGAAGGCAGAUCUCUGGGCCGUAACUGACGCUGAGGAGCGAAAGCAUGGGGAGCGAACAGGAUUAGAUACCCUGGUAGUCCAUGCCGUAAACGUUGGGAACUAGAUGUAGGGACUGUUCCACGGUUUCUGUGUCGUAGCUAACGCAUUAAGUUCCCCGCCUGGGGAGUACGGCCGCAAGGCUAAAACUCAAAGGAAUUGACGGGGGCCCGCACAAGCGGCGGAGCAUGCGGAUUAAUUCGAUGCAACGCGAAGAACCUUACCAAGGCUUGACAUAUACGAGAACGGGCCAGAAAUGGUCAACUCUUUGGACACUCGUAUACAGGUGGUGCAUGGUUGUCGUCAGCUCGUGUCGUGAGAUGUUCGGUUAAGUCCGGCAACGAGCGCAACCCUCGUCCUAUGUUGCCAGCACGUUAUGGUGGGAACUCAUGGGAUACUGCCGUGGUCAACACGGAGGAAGGUGGGGAUGACGUCAAAUCAUCAUGCCCCUUAUGUCUUGGGCUUCACGCAUGCUACAAUGGCCGAUACAAAGGGCUGCGAUACCGCGAGGUGGAGCGAAUCCCAAAAAGUCGGUCUCAGUUCGGAUUGGGGUCUGCAACUCGACCCCAUGAAGUCGGAGUCGCUAGUAAUCGCAGAUCAGCAACGCUGCGGUGAAUACGUUCCCGGGCCUUGUACACACCGCCCGUCAAGUCAUGAAAGUCGGUAACACCCGAAGCCGGUGGCCUAACCCUUGUGGAGGGAGCCGUCGAAGGUGGGACUGGUGAUUAGGACUAAGUCGUAACAAGGUAGCCGUACCGGAAGGUGCGGCUG